rnacentral:rRNA from 1 species
UUUAUGGAGAGUUUGAUCCUGGCUCAGGAUGAACGCUGGCGGCGUGCCUAAUACAUGCAAGUCGAGCGAACAGACAAGGAGCUUGCUCCUUUGACGUUAGCGGCGGACGGGUGAGUAACACGUGGGUAACCUACCUAUAAGACUGGGAUAACUUCGGGAAACCGGAGCUAAUACCGGAUAAUAUUUCGAACCGCAUGGUUCGAUAGUGAAAGAUGGUUUUGCUAUCACUUAUAGAUGGACCCGCGCCGUAUUAGCUAGUUGGUAAGGUAACGGCUUACCAAGGCGACGAUACGUAGCCGA